UACGUAGGGUGCGAGCGUUUAAUCGGAAUUACUGGGCGUAAAGCGUGCGCAGGCAGUUAUGUAAGACAGAUGUGAAAUGCCCGGGCUUAACCUGGGAACUGCAUUUGUGACUGCAUGGCUAGAGUUUGGCAGAGGGGGGUAGAAUUCCACGUGUAGCAGUGAAAUGCGUAGAUAUGUGGAGGAACACCGAUGGCGAAGGCAGCCCCCUGGGUCGAAGACUG
rnacentral:rRNA from 1 species